CUUACACCACUUGCGAUUUCUCUGGAGCACCCUGGGGAGCACCUGGCCCCGUGGGUAGAAGUUGUUCAAGAGAAGCUGUUGAAAAUCACUCACCAGGAAGUCUGUUUGCCCGAGGUGAGCCUGUGGCGUCCUGACAACAAGAGACCUAUGGUUUCAGGAGAGAGACAGAGUGCGAGCAGAGGAGGGGCAGAGAGAGAGGGAGACGCAGAAUCCGAAGCCGGCUCCGGGCUCCCAGCUGUCAGCACAGAGCCCGACGCGGGGCUCGAACCCGGGAACAGUGAGAUCAUGACCGGAGUCGAAGUCGGACGCUUCACCGACUGAGCCACCUGGGGGCCCUGUAUCCUCAUUUAAUUUUAGAUGAAGACACUGCCACCCCUUGGUGCCCCAGUGACACAUGGGGUUCAGGAGGCCCUACUGCGAGGCUUUGGCCGCUCAUUGCUGCGUCUGUUUGCGUGGAUUUGGAACACACCUGGGCUGUCAGCACAGAACCCGACGCGGGGCUCGCACCCGCAAACCGUGAGAUCAUGACCUGAGCCAAAGUCGGACGCUCAACCCACGGAGCCACCCUGAAAAAAUCCUUUGAGAAGGAAAAAGGAAGAAGCCAUCCAUUCCAUGAGAUGCCCCUACACCUUUCCAGACACAUAGACUCGAGUGAUGGGUCAUGUCUAUUGUUUUCUCCUUUUGCGCAUGUCAUCUUCCCAGAGGGCAGGCAGUCCUCCGAAUUGUCAAUAAUGACGGGUAGCACGGCAAGGCCCAGAUUGACAAAUGUCUUCUGUAAAGGAAGGGCCGGAUAGUAAAUAAUACAGGCUUUGCAGGCGUGAUGGUCUCUGUUGCAACUGCUCAGCUCUGCUGUGGUACGAGGGAAACAGCCAGAGACCUAAACAAACAGGCAUGGCCGUGUUCCAAUAAAACUUUCUUUGCAAAA